GGGGCUGAUUCUGGAUUCGACGGGAUUUGCGAAACCCAAGGUGCAUGCCGAGGGGCGGUUGGCCUCGUAAAAAGCCGCAAAAAAAUAGUCGCAAACGACGAAACCUACGCUUUAGCAGCUUAAUAACCUGCUUAGAGCCCUCUCUCCCUAGCCUCCGCUCUUAGGACGGGGAUCAAGAGAGGUCAAACCCAAAAGAGAUCGCGCGGAUGCCCUGCCUGGGGUUGAAGCGUUAAAACGAAUCAGGCUAUUCUGGUAGUGGCGUGUCCGUCCGCAGGUGCCAGGCGAAUGUAAAGACUGACUAAGCAUGUAGUACCGAGGAUGUAGGAAUUUCGGACGCGGGUUCAACUCCCGCCAGCUCCACCA
rnacentral:tmRNA from 1 species